UACGAGGGGGGCAAGCGUUGUUCGGAAUCAUUGGGCGUAAAGGGCGCGUAGGCGGUUGAGUUUGUCAAGUGUGAAAUCCCUCGGCUUAACUGAGGAAGUGCACUUGAAACGGCUCAACUUGAGUUGGGGAGAGGAGAGUGGAAUUCCCAGUGUAGCGGUGAAAUGCUUAGAUAUUGGGAGGAACACCGGUGGCGAAGGCGGCUCUCUGGACCCAUACUGACGCUGAGGCGCGAGAGCUAGGGGAG
rnacentral:rRNA from 1 species